CCUGCGUGCGACACAGCGGGGGAGGUGGCAGAGGGCGCCGGUCCCACAGCCGGCCCUGACGCCCUCCUUGUCCCCAGUCCCAGGUUCUCUGGGUGUUUCCCGGCCAGCCUCCCUGAGGAGGAGCGAGGGGAGGGGGGCUCCCUCUAAGGCGGCCUUGGGGAAAAGAAAGGAUUUCUGCGGCAUAGAACGGUCCAGCUUCCUUGUUUUCUGGGUGGGAAGCAGGCCUGGCCGCGUGAGGGCACCCUGUUCCGGACGCCACGGGGAUGGGGGCCUGUCGCCCUGCCAUGGCCCUGCUUCUCCCUUCUCUGUGGCUGAUCCUCCUCGUGUCCCACCCACCGCCCGGGGCAGGAUGGACCGGAGGGACUCUGGUCUCUGUCAUCGGUAGCGGUGUAGGAUUCCUGAAGGGCCCCCAGGAAACGUGAUUGACAGAUGCAGCCCAGACGACUGGAACAGGACCUGACCUGGGCCCAACAGAGUUCCAGAAUGUUCAGAACAGAGUGUGGAAAGGAAGAAACACCUCCGUGGGGUGGUUCUGUCACGGAGCUAGAAAACGGAGGCCCACACGGCACAGGAGGAAAAACAAAACAAAGACGGAAGACCCUCAAGAACCACCGCGCAGGUCUCGGCAGUUACGGUGACUGGAGCCCGCGGCUGCCCUCCCCCGCUGCCCCCAGCCCACCCAGCACUCACUUUCAUUAGCGUGCACUCCCGGGAGCCAGAGAACGCAGGGAACAGCUCCUCAUACUUCUGGACGGCGAGCUAAACGUCACAAGGGUGGAAAGAGGGGACGAGCUCAUGAAGAGGGGCCAUCGGAGCCACCGGCCUGGCAGCCAAGGGGACCUGGAGACACCUGGCCCCUGAGUCCUUCUCUGUGCCCCUCCCCCAGCGUCACCUGGCUCUGUGCCUGGCGGCACCUCCGUGGGGCUGUGCUGGGCCAAGCGUGGCUGCAGUGACAGCUUGUGGGGAGGAAGCGGGAAGGGUUUCCCAGGCUGGUGCCCAGGGCAGGGGGCAAACACCAACCGCCUCGCAGGAGUACCUCCUACGUGCCAGGGCUGGUGCUGGGCACUUCUCAGUUAACCACCAUCAGGCCCCGGGGAGGGCCACGUGAUGGGGACCCCCAUUUUGAAAGCGGGGAAACGCAAUGACCUGCUUGGGGCACAGGGGACGUGGGGGCGGGGACGUGGACCGGCCCGACAGCAAAGCCUGAGCUCUCGCCCACAGCGGGAGCGGGGGCUGGCGGCCGUGCUCAGACACACCCCGAGGCUGAGGGCGGGGUGGCCGGAGACCCCAGGAAAUGCCGAACCCGGAACCCGAGGACUCCAGCUCCUCCUCCGGCUAGGCCGUUCCCUGCCCCCUCAGCCAGCACUGGCUCCGCUCUUGCCGAGAAGCCCUGAAAAUGGGUGGUGUGGGCACGCGUGCUACCGUAUAAAUCAUGACUCUGGGAGUCAAAGAUCUGGAA